GUUCUGGAAUUUGGGCAGCUAUUUUCCAGCCGGCACGGACUCCAUCUUCUAUGUCACCAACUCUACGAUUCCUUGAAACUGGCAAGACGUCUGAUUGACACAACACAGUGGAAACCUGGAGCGAUCUCCCCAAAAGGCUUUUUGGAUGCUGUGGUCUGGGUCAUUGAAAGCUGUGUCGGG